GUAGACGCUAUACUCUAAGAUUAACCCAUGCAUGUUUAUUGAAUAUAAAGAAAAGACGAACAGCUCGGUAACUCUUAUUUGAUUUGAUGUAUUAGGAUUCUAACUAUGUUAAAUUAUAGGUAACAAUAAUACAAUAAGAAUAAGAUCUAUCAGUUAGUUGUUAAGGUAAUGGCUUAACAAGACUAUGACAGAUAACGGUAUUACUUUGUAAUAUUCCGGAGAAGGAGCCUGAGAGAUUGCUACUAAGUCUAAGGAUUGCAGCAGGGGCGAAACUUGACCUAUGAUAUUAUAUUGAGGCAGUUAUGAGUAGUAUUUUAUAAUUAUUGUAGUAUUGUAAGUACAUAUUACAAGAUAAAUCGGAGGGCAAAUCGAGUGCCAGCAGCCGCGGUAAUACUUGUUCCGAUAGUGUGUAUGAUGAUUGAUGCAGUUAAAAAGUCUGUAGUUUAUUUAUAAUAAGCAUUGUAAGGUAUACUGUAUGGUUAGGAGAGAGAUGAAAUGUGAUAACCCUAACUGGAUGAACAGAAGCGAAAGCUGUAUACUUAAAUGUAUUAUUAGAACAAGGACGUAAACUAGAGGAUCGAAGAUGAUUAGAUACCAUUGUAGUUCUAGCAGUAAACUAUGUUGAAUCAUAGAUAUAUUUUGAUAUAUAUUUAUGUAGAGAAAUUAAGAUUUUAUUGACUCUGGGGAUAGUAUGAUCGCAAGAUUGAAAAUUAAAGAAAUUGACGGAAGAAUACCACAAGGAGUGGAUUGUGCGGCUUAAUUUGACUCAACGCGGGGUAAUUUACCAGGUAUAACAUGGUAUAAUAUUUUAUCAUGAUAGUGGUGCAUGGCCGUUUCCAAUGGAUGCUGUGAAGUAAUGAUUAAUUUCAACAAGAUGUGAGACCCUCAUUUAGACAGAUGUAGUGAUACAUAUGAAGGAGAGGAUUAAAACAGGUCCGUUAUGCCCUAAGAUAAUCUGGGUUGCACGCGCAAUACAAUAAUAUUUGAUAUUAUAAGGGAUAAUAUAAUGUAAGAUAUAUUUGAACAUGGAAUUGCUAGUAAAUUUUAUUUAAUAAGUAGAAUUGAAUGAGUCCCUGUUCUUUGUACACACCGCCCGUCGCUAUCUAAGAUGGUAUUAUCUAUGAACAAAUUUAUAAAGUGAAUAGAUAGUACUAGAUCUGAUAU
rnacentral:rRNA from 1 species